GAUGAACGCUGGCGGCGUGCCUAAUACAUGCAAGUCGAGCGAACGGACGAGAAGCUUGCUUCUCUGAUGUUAGCGGCGGACGGGUGAGUAACACGUGGAUAACCUACCUAUAAGACUGGGAUAACUUCGGGAAACCGUAGCUGAUACCGGAUAAUAUUUUGAACCGCAUGGUUCAAAAGUGAAAGACGGUCUUGCUGUCACUUAUAGAUGGAUCCGCGCUGCAUUAGCUAGUUGGUAAGGUAACGGCUUACCAAGGCAACGAUGCAUAGCCGACCUGAGAGGGUGAUCGGCCACACUGGAACUGAGACACGGUCCAGACUCCUACGGGAGGCAGCAGAAGGGAAUCUUCCGCAAUGGGCGAAAGCCUGACGGAGCAACGCCGCGUGAGUGAUGAAGGUCUUCGGAUCGUAAAACUCUGUUAUUAGGGAAGAACAUAUGUGUAAGUAACUGUGCACAUCUUGACGGUACCUAAUCAGAAAGCCACGGCUAACUACGUG
rnacentral:rRNA from 1 species